GAAACCCAGGCUCGUUUCUCUCUCUCCUCUCCCCCGAGCUCGGCCGGAAACUGCAAUUCCUUCGCCGGCUUUGUUCUUCCUCCUCCGGCCACCAAAUCACUCCAAACUUCUUCCAUUAGCUUCGCCUCGUCCUUGCGCACCUGUAUGUGGUGGCCUUGCACGGCGGCGCUGCCUGUAACGGCGGUGGUGAGCUCGUUCCGAUUUAAGCUCAAUUUUGGUCAACGACGGUUUUCUCCUAGCUCCGGCCACCAAAACUUCCGAUCCUUGGCUCCAUGAACUCCCCUCAACCUGCUGAUCAUCAUACUAGGAGGAUUGCACCUAGAGUGACCAGUUUCACGUUCGUCGGAGCUCGAAGGAAUCGAGGCCUGAAAUUGAAGUUUUUACGUCGCAAAUCAAACUCGCCGGUUUCUGGAAAUUUUCCGGCCACCUUCAUACGGUUCAAGCGGGAAGUCUUGCAGGUUAGGAGAAUCAGGGCGGUGAUCGUGCGGGUUAGAGUAAUUGUUGUAGUUUUACAGUGAUUGUAAUAGUGAGGUGAGUUAAGUUCAAUUUGAGCUUUACAAUUUACUUUGUAUAGUGAGUUGUAAAAAUUAAUUUGAGGUUUGUAAUUUGAGUGUUUGUGUUCUAGUUGAUUAUUCAUGUUCCGGAUUUGAAAAAAAGUUAUUCAAAAUUCGGGGCGUGACAGGAAUCUAUG